rnacentral:rRNA from 1 species
CUGAAUCCUUCGGGAGGACGUGAGUGGAACGAGCGGCGGACGGGUGAGUAACACGUGGGCAACCUGCCUGUAAGACUGGGAUAACUCCGGGAAACCGGGGCUAAUACCGGAUAGUACUUUGGUUCAUAGGAACCGAAGUGGAAAGGUGGCGCAAGCUACCACUUACAGAUGGGCCCGCGGUGCAUUAGCUAGUUGGUGAGGUAACGGCUCACCAAGGCAACGAUGCAUAGCCGACCUGAGAGGGUGAUCGGCCACACUGGGACUGAGACACGGCCCAGACUCCUACGGGAGGCAGCAGUAGGGAAUCUUCCGCAAUGGACGAAAGUCUGACGGAGCAACGCCGCGUGAACGAAGAAGGUUUUCGGAUCGUAAAGUUCUGUUGUUAGGGAAGAACAAGUACCGUUCGAAUAGGGCGGUACCUUGACGGUACCUAUCGAGGAAGCCCCGGCUAACUACGUGCCAGCAGCCGCGGUAAUACGUAGGGGGCAAGCGUUGUCCGGAAUUAUUGGGCGUAAAGCGCGCGUAGGCGGUUUCUUAAGUCUGAUGUGAAAUCUUGCGGCUCAACCGCAAGCGGUCAUUGGAAACUGGGGAACUUGAGUACAGAAGAGGAGAGCGGAAUUCCACGUGUAGCGGUGAAAUGCGUAGAGAUGUGGAGGAACACCAGUGGCGAAGGCGGCUCUCUGGUCUGUAACUGACGCUGAGGUGCGAAAGCGUGGGGAGCGAACAGGAUUAGAUACCCUGGUAGUCCACGCCGUAAACGAUGAGUGCUAGGUGUUAGGGGGUUUCCGCCCCUUAGUGCUGCAGUUAACGCAUUAAGCACUCC